rnacentral:rRNA from 1 species
UGGGGAAUAUUGGGCAAUGGGCGAAAGCCUGACCCAGCAACGCCGCGUGAAGUAUGAAGGCCUUCGGGUUGUAAACUUCUUUGAUCAGGGAAGAAACAAAUGACGGUACCUGAAAAACAAGCCACGGCUAACUACGUGCCAGCAGCCGCGGUAAUACGUAGGUGGCGAGCGUUAUCCGGAUUUACUGGGUGUAAAGGGCGUGCAGGCGGGCUGAUAAGUCAGAUGUGAAAUCCCCGAGCUUAACUCGGGAACUGCAUCUGAUACUGUUGGUCUUGAGUGCUGGAGAGGAUAGUGGAAUUCCUAGUGUAGCGGUAAAAUGGGCAGAUAUUAGGAGGAACACCAGUGGCGAAGGCGGCUAUCUGGACAGUAACUGACGCUGAGGCGCGAAAGCGUGGGUAGCAAACAGG